AGAGUUUGAUCCUGGCUCAGGACGAACGCUGGCGGCGUGCCUAAUACAUGCAAGUAGAACGCUGAAGAGAGGAGCUUGCUCUUCUUGGAUGAGUUGCGAACGGGUGAGUAACGCGUAGGUAACCUGCCUUGUAGCGGGGGAUAACUAUUGGAAACGAUAGCUAAUACCGCAUAACAAUGGAUGACACAUGUCAUUUAUUUGAAAGGGGCAAUUGUUCCACUACAAGAUGGACCUGCGUUGUAUUAGCUAGUAGGUGAGGUAAUGGCUCACCUAGGCGACGAUACAUAGCCGACCUGAGAGGGUGAUCGGCCACACUGGGACUGAGACACGGCCCAGACUCCUACGGGAGGCAGCAGUAGGGAAUCUUCGGCAAUGGGGGCAACCCUGACCGAGCAACGCCGCGUGAGUGAAGAAGGUUUUCGGAUCGUAAAGCUCUGUUGUAAGUCAAGAACGGGUGUGAGAGUGGAAAGUUCACACUGUGACGGUAGCUUACCAGAAAGGGACGGCUAACUACGUGCCAGCAGCCGCGGUAAUACGUAGGUCCCGAGCGUUGUCCGGAUUUAUUGGGCGUAAAGCGAGCGCAGGCGGUUUGAUAAGUCUGAAGUUAAAGGCUGUGGCUCAACCAUAGUUCGCUUUGGAAACUGUCAAACUUGAGUGCAGAAGGGGAGAGUGGAAUUCCAUGUGUAGCGGUGAAAUGCGUAGAUAUAUGGAGGAACACCGGUGGCGAAAGCGGCUCUCUGGUCUGUAACUGACGCUGAGGCUCGAAAGCGUGGGGAGCGAACAGGAUUAGAUACCCUGGUAGUCCACGCCGUAAACGAUGAGUGCUAGGUGUUGGAUCCUUUCCGGGAUUCAGUGCCGCAGCUAACGCAUUAAGCACUCCGCCUGGGGAGUACGACCGCAAGGUUGAAACUCAAAGGAAUUGACGGGGGCCCGCACAAGCGGUGGAGCAUGUGGUUUAAUUCGAAGCAACGCGAAGAACCU
rnacentral:rRNA from 1 species